rnacentral:tRNA from 2 species
GGGGAUGUAGCUCAGUGGUAGAGCGCCUGCUUUGCAUGUAGGAGGUCCUGGGUUCAAUCCCCAGCAUCUCCA